AAAAAGAAAAAAAGAAAACAAUUCAAGGGAAAACAGAAGCAAAGAAAAUGAACAAAUAAAUGAACCAGCAAACAGAAUGAAAGCUGAAUGUAGUUACAUCCAUUUGCCCCUAGAAUUGAAACUGUGAAGACUUUUAUAGUCUGUACACUAAGCAGUAUGAAGACCCAGUAUCAAAUUAAAAUAAGUGGACAGUCCCAGACUUCAGUGACAAAGCGCCUUGAUUCCAGCAGUGAUUCCCCAGUCUGCUUUCGCUUUGGGUUUCCAUUGUGACCAUUAACUGCUGAAACUGAGCCCAGAGCCCAUGAUCACAAGAUCUGAACGUCGUUGCGAGGGAUCCUAAAGAGGAAGCAAGAGCUGAGAUGCCUAGUGAAGCAGGAAUCAUCCUGGAACUGUCAGGAUGGGAGUUGGAACACUAAGGAAGGAACAAACGGGGAAUGCCAAUUCAUCUGGAACUUCAGAGUGUUGAGAGUACUAUCAGGAUGAAAACAGCCACCAGCUGCUGCUAAGAAGCUGUCAUCAGUCAGCAUUUUGGGACUCUUCCAAACCUAACUUGCUGGGCAGUCCAAAGCAAUGGGUGUUCUGUUUAUGUUAUAAUUCUUAAGAGUUGAGAAAGUAGCAAUUAGUGGGAAAACUAUAUAGCUGAUGUUUGUACUGGAAGAAGUCCAGUUGGGUAUCUUGUCUAGAUAACAGUUACUUUCUUAAUAUUUGAAAGCUCAGUCUUGCUAGAGGUUGUUGUUAGGACCCAAGACCAUCAGUAGAAUUACAGAGUGGUUCCAUCUGCUCUAUUCCCUGUAAAUUCGUCCAGCUUCUUUGAUCUAUUUAAUAUAGCCUUGUGUGAGAUAUACACCACUGGCUUUGGAAUAAUUUUUGGAACUGCUUGACAGGAUGUAAAUAUCAUAACUGUUCAUUAAGGGAGAAUAAGAGGCACCUAGAUGGCUCAGUUGGUUAAGUGUCCGACUCCUGAUUUUGACUCGGGUUGUGAU